AUUAUUAUUUAGUUUUAUAACAUGCCUCAUGAUUUAAAAGUUCUGAGUAAACGACAUUUGCGUCGCAAAACAGCUAUAAAUACUCGUAAAGUAUUACUGAGUAUUGCAGGCAAUAAUUGUGCACUCGAGCACCUUACGAAAUCACAAUUAAAAGAUGCUAGUCAUGAACAUGUGUCUUGUAUCGGAGAAUAUGUGCACUCUAUAGAUAGCGAUUAUGAUGUUGAUCAUAUCCAUCAAAGUAAUGAACAGAAUGAAGAAAACUCUAAUUCGAACCGCGAUAAUAAAGAUUUCAAAGACAUCGAAAGUGACAUAGAUAGCAUCAAAGCUACGUUGUACAGUUCUGAAGAUAAUUCAAGUUCCGUCAGCGAUGAAGUGCAUUUAGAUGAUGAAACGAACUUUGUUGAAAAUUUGCGCGACUGGGCAUCUUCAAAUAACAUCACACAUAACGCGAUCGAUCAAUUGCUAGCAUUAUUGAAACCAGCACAUCCUAUCUUACCCUUAAGUGCUAGGACUCUACUUCACACGUCACGACGUAUUGAAACGUUAAAUUUAGACAACGGAGAAAUGUGUUAUUUCGGUUUGGAGAAAUGCUUGAGACAAAAACUCGAGUCAGGUCUCAAAAAAGGACUGUCACCUGAACAUACGUUGCGAGUUGAUUUUAAUAUUGAUGGGAUUCCCGUUUAUAAAAGUAGCGGAACAUCAUUUUGGCCAAUUUUGGGACGCAGUAUUUCAAUGAUCGAUGAUAGCCCAUUUGUAAUUGGUGUUUAUUAUGGUACGGGUAAACCGAUGCCACUAUCUUCAUAUUUACGAGAUUUAAUUAAAGAAACGUCACGUUUAAGCACCAAUGGUUUUGAGUUUAAUGGCACCAAAUACUUUGUCAGAGUUGGUUUAUUCGCGUGUGACGCGCCCGCGAGAUCUAUGUUGAAAAUGUGUUUAGGACAUUCGGGUAAGGAUGCUUGCGAGAGGUGUAAGAUUCGCGCAGUUCAUCUCAACCGUAAACUGUGUUAUCCAUGUGACACCGAAUUCCAGAAGCGAAAAGAUAGUGAUUUUGUUGCACCUAGUGAAAACGAUCGUCACGUUAAAGGACGUUCGCCUCUUUUAGAUCUUUACGUGGGACUAGUCUCCCAAUUUCCUUUAGAUCCCAUGCAUUUAAUCUACCUGGGAAUUUUGAAGAGGUUGCUCCUUAAAUACUGGGUCGAGGCUUCACGUGAUUGCAAAUUGUCUAAGGAUAUUUUGUUAGAAAUUGAACGUAUAAUGAAACUAUUGGCGCGAUAUGUUCCGGCAGAGUUUCCUCGAAAGCCCCGUGGAUUUUUGGAUUUGCAUCGAUGGAAAGCGACAGAAUUUAGAUUUUUCUUGUUAUAUUCCGGCCCUGUUGUAAUGCGGGAUGUGCUAGAUCGAAAAAAGUACAAACAUUUUUUAUUAUUGUCUGCCGCCGUGUAUAUUCUAUCGAAUACAGCCUUGUUCUCGCGUUUUCGAAACAUCGCGCAAGAUAUGAUCGAAAAAUUCGUUACUCAAGGUGCUAAGAUAUACGGACAAAACUUUGUCGUAUAUAAUGUACAUUCGCUGCUGCAUGUCAUAGACGACGUAGAACGAUUUGGCCCAUUAGAAGAAUACAGUUGCUUUGUGUAUGAAAAUCAUUUGGGCCAUUUGAAACGACUUAUUCGAUCGAAACGCUUGCCGCUGCAGCAGCUGAGUAAUCGACUUGAAGAACUAAGUUCUAUUCGUAAAACUAAUUGUCAGGAAAAAUUUAUUCCUAAACCCAAAUUUAUUGGAAAUUCUCGUGAAUGUCAGGCUCUGGAAACGAAAAAAUUCAAAAUAUCAAUAAAAAGGCCGGAUAAUGUAGUAGCUUGUGGGACAGAAAUAUUAGUGAUCAAAUCAAUCCUUUUCAUUGCCGGAGAAUAUAGAAUUAUAGGUACUCCGUUCAAGUACAAGCGAGACCUUUAUCAGAAACCUAUUAAAUCUUCCAAACUAGGGAUUUUUUUCGUAAGAAGUUUCAACGUAGCGAAAUCUUAUCGCGUCGAUGAUAUAUUACAUAAAUUCGUCUGUCUUCCAUUUAAAGAUGGUUUCGCAGUAACUCCGAUACUACACGAAAUGAAAUAAAAUUUUUAUUUUUUGUUAAACAUCUCAACGAAACGAGCUCUCGACAAAAAACAGAUGAUGAACCUACGAUUCUCGGCAAUGUGUACGAGGAAGAGGGAUUCGUUCAAGACAUGUAUAGUAUGUCUAUGUCUACCUCGCACACAUUCCCGAGAAUCGUAGGUUCAUUAUCUCUUUUAUAUUAAAAGUUUGCUUCAAUUGAGAUGUUUAGCAAAAAAUAACAUUAUCGUAUACCUAUUACCAUAUACCGUAUAUGCCGAGUCUAAUUUACCUAGUAGUCCAAUAUACCCAACUCUACCAUAUGUUCAUAACAUCACUUUUGAGCUGAUUUAUUAUAGUUUUGUACGUCACAUUGACGUUCAAGUAUUGGUUAGACAUGCGUUCCCAAAAUCUUCAUAAUGUUUCAUGAUCGAUUCAUCUUUUAACUUAUAUACUACCUUGCAUAUUCCUAUGUUGAUGUCCUAAUUAAAAACUUUUAAACUGGCACUUUUUGCUCAGAGUGGAAUAAAAGUGCUUGAAUUUUGAUCAAAUAUAAAUUUAUACACCAGACUAGAGAAUAUGAUACAUUUAACGAUGUUUUUACUCAGUCGUGCUGCAGAACUAUGUAUGCGGUGAUUGAAUUCUUGGUUGGCGAAGAUAGAGAAUGCGCAUUGGUACCAGUUCUUUGGCUGGUCGAAAACAACACCCAAUGUUACUGGCCACGGACAAAAACUGAAGAUCAUUUUACAAAACUUGUAAAAUCAAAGGCUGCCUAUGAAAAAACAUGGCCAAAGUUUGCCAUUCACAAAGUACUGCAUACCGGAGAUGACUACCACGACACCGAAGCAACGAUGGCGCGCCUACUGGAGCUGGGCACGUCCGAUGAAUCCGGAAUAAUUCGCAACAUCGCUAAAAAAUCCACUGUAAUACCUCAGCAAGAUAUUACCAAUGACGUGGACGAGAAUGAAGCUACGAACAGUGAUGAUGUCGAACCUGAGCCGCAAAAGAAAAAACGUAAACACAAAACCGACAAGAAGAAGGCUAAAAAUCGACACGUUAGUAACAAAAAAAAAAAAACGAAGCGUUCUCGUGAAAGUUCAA
rnacentral:misc_RNA from 1 species